UACGUAGGGUGCAAGCGUUGUCCGGAAUUAUUGGGCGUAAAGAGCUCGUAGGCGGUUCGUCGCGUCGGCUGUGAAAUCCCGGAGCUCAACUCCGGGUCUGCAGUCGAUACGGGCGGACUUGAGUUCGGCAGGGGAGACUGGAAUUCCUGGUGUAGCGGUGAAAUGCGCAGAUAUCAGGAGGAACACCGGUAGCGAAGGCGGUGCUGGGCCGCACUGACGUCGUGAGGAGCGAAAGCGUGGGGAGCGAACAGG
rnacentral:rRNA from 1 species